GGAUUCCCCUAGUAACUGCGAGUGAAGCGGGAAAAGCUCAAAUUUAAAAUCUGGUAGUCUUUGGCUGCCCGAGUUGUAAUCUAGAGAAGCAUUAUCUGCUCUGGACUGUGUAUAAGUAUCCUGGAAUGGAUCAUCAUAGAGGGUGAGAAUCCCGUCUUUGACACAGACUCCCAGUGCUUUGUGAUGUGCUCUCAAAGAGUCGAGUUGUUUGGGAAUGCAGCUCUAAAUGGGUGGUAAAUUCCAUCUAAAGCUAAAUAUUGGCGAGAGACCGAUAGCGAACAAGUACCGUGAGGGAAAGAUGAAAAGAACUUUGGAAAGAGAGUUAAACAGUACGUGAAAUUGCUGAAAGGGAAACGCUUGAAGUCAGUCGCGUUGGCUGGGGAUCAACCUUGGCUUGGCUUACUUCCCAGUUGACGGGUCAGCAUCAGUUUUGACCGGUGGAUAAAGGCUAGGGGAAUGUGGCACCUYCGGGUGUGUUAUAGCCCUUGGUCA
rnacentral:rRNA from 1 species